rnacentral:rRNA from 1 species
GACGAACGCUGGCGGCGUGCUUAACACAUGCAAGUCGAACGGAAAGGCCCUGCUUUUGUGGGGUGCUCGAGUGGCGAACGGGUGAGUAACACGUGAGUAACCUGCCCUUGACUUUGGGAUAACUUCAGGAAACUGGGGCUAAUACCGGAUAGGAGCUCCUGUUGCAUGGUGGGGGUUGGAAAGUUUCGGCGGUUGGGGAUGGACUCGCGGCUUAUCAGAGUGUUGGUGGGGUAGUGGCUUACCAAGGCUUUGACGGGUAGCCGGCCUGAGAGGGUGACCGGCCACAUUAGGACUGGAAUACGGCCCAGACUCCUACGGGAGGCAGCAGUGGGGAAUAUUGCACGAUGGGCGGAAGCCUGAUGCAGCAACGCCGCGUGCGGGAUGACGGCCUUCGGGUUGUAAACCGCUUUCGCCUGUGACGAAGCGUGAGUGACGGUAAUGGGUAAAGAAGCACCGGCUAACUACGUG